rnacentral:rRNA from 1 species
UACGUAGGGUGCGAGCGUUGUCCGGAAUUAUUGGGCGUAAAGGGCUCGUAGGCGGUCUGUCACGUCGGGAGUGAAAACUCGGGGCUUAACCCCGAGCCUGCUUCCGAUACGGGCAGACUAGAGGUAUGCAGGGGAGAAUGGAAUUCCUGGUGUAGCGGUGAAAUGCGCAGAUAUCAGGAGGAACACCGGUGGCGAAGGCGGGUCUCUGGGCCGAUACUGACGCUGAGGAGCGAAAGCGUGGGGAGCAAACAGG